GCUGACUGUGCAAUCACAAUGACUGACUCGGACUUACUGGCUCUGAUGACUGGUAAAAUGAAUCCUCAGAUGGCCUUUUUUCGAGGCAAAUUGAAAAUCACUGGCAAUGCAUUGCAAGAGGGCCAAUGUGAGUGGAAUAUAGUGACCUAGAAGGACAGCUCCAAGAUGAUGUUAGAUAGACACACAGGAGCCAGCUAUAUUGGCAUUUGUUCAUUAAG